rnacentral:tRNA from 1 species
GGGGGCGUCGUCAAGCGGCUAAGACAUCAGAUUUUGGUUCUGACACUCGGAGGUUCGAAUCCUUCCGCCCCUGCCA